AUAAGGUAUCUUACUCUGAAUACAUAGGGGUAAGAAGCGAACUCGG
rnacentral:rRNA from 1 species